rnacentral:rRNA from 1 species
CCUACGGGUGGCUGCAGUGAGGAAUAUUGGUCAAUGGCCGGAAUCCUGAACCAGCCAAGCCGCGUGCAGGACGACGGCUCCAAGAGUUGUAAACUUCUUUUGUCCAGGGGUAAAAUGCUCCACGAGUAGCGUUUCGAAGGUACUGUACGAAAAAGCAUCGGCUAACUCCGUGCCAGCAGCCGCGGUAAUACGGAGGAUUCGAGCGUUAUCCGGAUUCAUUGGGUUUAAAGGGUGCGUAGGUUGUUUUGCAAGUUAGCGGUGAAAUACCGAUGCUCAACAUCGGGGCUGCCGCUGAAACUGUAGUACUAGAGUGCGCAAGCAGCAGGCGGAAUGUGUGGUGUAGCGGUGAAAUGCAUAGAUAUUACGCAGAACUCCGAUUGCGAAGGCAGCAUGCUGGGCC